UACGAACCGUCCAAACGUUAUUCGGAAUCACUGGGCUUAAAGGGUUUGUAGGCGGCGCUGUUAGUCGGGUGUGAAAGCCCUCGGCUCAACCGAGGAAUUGCGCCCGAUACUGCAGUGCUUGAGGGAGACAGAGGUAAGCGGAACUGAUGGUGGAGCGGUGAAAUGCGUUGAUAUCAUCAGGAACACCGGUGGCGAAAGCGGCUUACUGGGUCUCUUCUGACGCUGAGAAACGAAAGCUAGGGUAGCGAAGGGGAUUAGAUACCCCCGUAGUCCUAGCUGUAAACGUUGAGCACUUGAUCGUGGACCCCCCCAUAGGUUCUCGGUCGUAGCGAAAGUGUUAAGUGCUCCGCCUGGGGAGUAUGGUCGCAAGGCUGAA
rnacentral:rRNA from 1 species